rnacentral:rRNA from 1 species
UACAGAGGGGGCAAGCGUUAUUCGGAAUUAUUGGGCGUAAAGGGCGCGUAGGCGGCAUGGCAAGUGGAUGGUGAAAUCCCUCGGCUUAACCGAGGAACUGCCGUCCAAACUGCUUCGCUUGAGACCGGGAGAGGUGAGUGGAAUUCCCAGUGUAGCGGUGAAAUGCGUAGAUAUUGGGAGGAACACCAGUGGCGAAGGCGGCUCACUGGACCGGUACUGACGCUGAUGCGCGAAAGCGUGGGGAGCAACGGG